UCCCUAGUCAUCUAGUGGUUAAGACCCUGCACUUCUAAUGCAGGGAUUGUAGGUUCAAUCCCUGGUCAGGGAA
rnacentral:tRNA from 1 species